rnacentral:lncRNA from 1 species
CGGGUGUGCUGUAAAUGCCCUGCACAAUAUGACUGGCCGCGGCCGCUUUGAAGUCUUUUCCGACGAGGAACAAUGCAAGUCUCACAUCUCGAUGAGGGUGACGAUUUACCGUCUCACAUCUCGACGAUAAAACGUCGCAUCUGCGUAUGUGUUCAGGGCCAAGAGCACGAGAACUAGCCGAGAAAGGGAGCCGAUCCAACAAGAAUGCCGUCCGUCUUAUUAUGUCAGCGCUGUCAUGCAGCGAUCACGUGGACUGUAGGGUUGCGUUGCACAAGGGCUGAUGCAAACGCUGCGUGCGAACAAUGUUGCAUGUAAAAUUAGCGCAUCUAUACAAUGCAAAAUAAACAUCUAAAGAGAGAAAAC